CCUACGGGAGGCAGCAGUGAGGAAUAUUGGUCAAUGGACGAGAGUCUGAACCAGCCAAGCAGCGUGAAGGAUGACUGUCCUAUGGGCUGUAAACUCUUUUUAUAUGGGAAUAAAAUGUUCCACGUGUGGGAUUUUGUCUGUACCAUAUGUAUAAGGAUCGGCUAAACCCGCGCCAGCAGCCGCGGUAAUACGGAGGAUCCGAGCGUUAUCCGGAUUGAUUGGGUUUAAAGGGAGCGUAGGUGGAUUGUUAAGUCAGUUGUGAAAGUUUGCGGCUCAACCGUAAAAUUGCAGUUGAAACUGGCAGUCUUGAGUACAGUAGAGGUGGGCGGAAUUCGUGGUGUAGCGGUGAAAUGCUUAGAUAUCACGAAGAACUCCGAUUGCGAAGGCAGUUCACUGGACUGCAACUGACACUGAGGCUCGAAAGUGUGGGUAUCAAACAGGAUUAGAUACCCGGGUAGUC
rnacentral:rRNA from 1 species